rnacentral:rRNA from 1 species
GUAGGUGGCAAGCGUUGUCCGGAAUUAUUGGGCGUAAAGCGCGCGCAGGCGGUCCUUUAAGUCUGAUGUGAAAGCCCACGGCUCAACCGUGGAGGGUCGUUGGAAACUGGGGGACUUGAGUACAGAAGAGGAAAGCGGAAUUCCAAGUGUAGCGGUGAAAUGCGUAGAGAUUUGGAGGAACACCAGUGGCGAAGGCGGCUUUCUGGUCUGUAACUGACGCUGAGGCGCGAAAGCGUGGGGAGCAAACAGGAUUAGAUACCCUGGUAGUCCACGCCGUAAACGAUGAGUGCUAAGUGUUAGGGGGUUUCCCGCCCCCUUAGUGCUGCAGCUAACGCAUUAAGCACUCCGCCUGGGGAGUACGGCCGCAAGGCUG